GUACAGGGUAUCAAGUGCUUUAAUCAGAAAAAUAACAAAAAGUUAUGUAAACACAGCUUACCGUGAGUAAAUUUGUCACACUAAGAUAUUCAGGUUGUACCAUUUAGGAAAUAGUUUAACCACAAAGGACAUUAAGCAAUGCAUGCAAUAAGUUCAAUUUAAAUUCAUUGCAGAGCUGUGGCAGAGAUGGACUAGAAGCCCACCAAUCUAUUUCCUUUUUCUGAGCACAAAAGAAAACAACAUUUCCCAAUCUCUCUAGCAGUUAGGUUGAGAUGAUGUCACAAUGGAAAAUGGGCCAAAGUAGUAUAUGCCAAUACUACUCAAAGUGUGGUCUGGGGUACACUGCUCAUUCAUGAAUUGUUUCUUGAUGGUCCACAAUGACGUAAAGCACAUUCUCUCCAAGAUCGUCAGAUUCCCUUUGGCCUUCAGAGAGCUGGAUUCCUGGGUAUUGGAAAAAGCCCACAGCCACGUUCAUUUCCGGUAGUCUUGAUUUGUGAACUCUUCUCUAAAAUCCACAAAAGCUCCUAAGCUCUGGGGCAAAAGGAACUGUGUCUGGCUGUGAGUCAUGCUUGAGGCAAGAAAUAAACAAUAGUUUGGAGACACAACAAUAAAUCUCCUCUAGGACUGAUUUGAGAAUUCAGUAAGAUAU
rnacentral:lncRNA from 1 species